rnacentral:rRNA from 1 species
GUACACUCCUGCGGGAGGCAGCAGUGGGGAAUUUUGGACAAUGGGGGCAACCCUGAUCCAGCAAUGCCGCGUGAGUGAAGAAGGCCUUCGGGUUGUAAAGCUCUUUUGUCAGGGAAGAAACGGUAGUAGCGAAUAACUAUUACUAAUGACGGUACCUGAAGAAUAAGCACCGGCUAACUACGUGCCAGCAGCCGCGGUAAUACGUAGGGUGCAAGCGUUAAUCGGAAUUACUGGGCGUAAAGCGUGCGCAGGCGGUUGUGUAAGUCAGAUGUGAAAUCCCCGGGCUCAACCUGGGAAUUGCAUUUGAGACUGCACGGCUAGAGUGUGUCAGAGGGGGGUAGAAUUCCACGUGUAGCAGUGAAAUGCGUAGAUAUGUGGAGGAAUACCGAUGGCGAAGGCAGCCCCCUGGGAUAACACUGACGCUCAUGCACGAAAGCGUGGGGAGCAAACAGGAUUAGAAACCCCAGUAGUCCCAUG